AGUCCAUGGUUCGGGCAGUUUUUGACUAAGCCCUUGAAACGCUUCCAUGCAGCGCUCAAGGUCUCAGUGUCUUCCUGUUCAAAGUUCAUGAUUUUUCAACGACU